GUACAUUUCAAGGCCACUUACAUAUACUAAAAUUGAAACGAUACAGAGAAAAUUAGCCUGGCCUCUCCGCAAGGGUGACACGCAAAAUUGUGAAGCGUUCUACGUUUUU